GAUGAACGCUGGCGGCGUGCCUAAUACAUGCAAGUCGAGCGAACAGAUGAGGAGCUUGCUCCUCUGACGUUAGCGGCGGACGGGUGAGUAACACGUGGAUAACCUACCUAUAAGACUGGGAUAACUUCGGGAAACCGGAGCUAAUACCGGAUAAUAUAUUGAACCGCAUGGUUCAAUAGUGAAAGACGGUUUUGCUGUCACUUAUAGAUGGAUCCGCGCCGCAUUAGCUAGUUGGUAAGGUAACGGCUUACCAAGACAACGAUGCGUAGCCGACCUGAGAGGGUGAUCGGCCACAUUGGAACUGAGACACGGUCCAGACUCCUACGGGAGGCAGCAGUAGGGAAUCUUCCGCAAUGGGCGAAAGCCUGACGGAGCAACGCCGCGUGAGUGAUGAAGGUCUUCGGAUCGUAAAACUCUGUUAUUAGGGAAGAACAAAUGUGUAAGUAACUAUGCACGUCUUGACGGUACCUAAUCAGAAAGCCACGGCUAACUACGUG
rnacentral:rRNA from 1 species